GAUGAAGAACGUAGCGAAAUGCGAUAAGUAAUGUGAAUUGCAGAAUUCAGUGAAUCAUCGAAUCUUUGAACGCACAUUGCGCCCGCCAGUAUUCUGGCGGGCAUGCCUGUUCGAGCGUCAUUUCAACCCUCAAGCCCCAGCGGCCUGGUGUUGGGGACCGGCGACCUCGCCCGAGCCCGCCCUCCGGGGCGCGUGCCCGGUGCGUCCGCCGCCCCCGAAAUGAAUUGGCGGCCUCGUCGCGGCCUCCUCUGCGUAGUAGCACAACCUCGCAAGCGGGAGCGCGACGCGGCCACUGCCGCAAAACGCCCAACUUUUUUAGAGUUGACCUCGGAUCAGGUAGGAAUACCCGCUGAACUUAAGCAUAUCAAUAAGCGGAGGA
rnacentral:misc_RNA from 1 species